GGCCUGAUGGAGCACGCCGCGUGUGUGAUGAAGGCUUUCGGGUCGUAAAGCACUGUUGUAUGGGAAGAACGGGUUUAAGAGGAAAUGCUUAGACAGUGACGGUACCAUACCAGAAAGGGACGGCUAAAUACGUGCCAGCAGCCGCGGUAAUACGUAUGUCCCGAGCGUUAUCCGGAUUUAUUGGGCGUAAAGCGAGCGCAGACGGUUGCUUAAGUCUGAAGUGAAAGCCCACAGCUCAACUGUGGAAUGGCUUUGGAAACUGGGCAACUUGAGUGCAGUAGAGGUAAGUGGAACUCCAUGUGUAGCGGUGGAAUGCGUAGAUAUAUGGAAGAACACCAGUGGCGAAGGCGGCUUACUGGACUGCAACUGACGUUGAGGCUCGAAAGUGUGGGUAGCAAACAGGAUUAGAUACCCUGGUAGUCCACACCGUAAACGAUGGAUACUAGUUGUUAGAGGGUUUCCGCCCUUUAGUGACGAAGCAAACGCAUUAAGUAUCCCGCCUGGGGAGUACGACCGCAAGGUUGAAACUCAAAGGAAUUGACGGGGACCCGCACAAGCGGUGGAGCAUGUGGUUUAAUUCGAAGCAACGCGAAGAACCUUACCAGGUCUUGACAUCCUUUGAAGGUACUAGAGAUAGUACUGUCUUCUUCGGAAGCAAAGUGACAGGUGGUGCAUGGCCGUCGUCAGCUCGUGUCGUGAGAUGUUGGGUUAAGUCCCGCAACGAGCGCAACCCUUAUGUUUAGUUGCCAGCAUUCAGUUGGGCACUCUAGACAGACUGCCGGUGACAAACCGGAGGAAGGCGGGGACGACGUCAGGUCAUCAUGCCCCUUAUGACCUGGGCUACACACGUGCUACAAUGGCGUAUACAACGAGCAGCAAACCUGUGAAGGUAAGCGAAUCUCUUAAAGUACGUCUCAGUUCGGAUUGUAGUC
rnacentral:rRNA from 1 species